rnacentral:lncRNA from 1 species
GCAGAUCCGGCGUUUUUCCGCCCAUUUAAACCAAUGUAAUUUUGCCCCUUAGUUUUGAUCACUUUGAGCAUCGGCUAAAAAAGCUUCAAAUUGGCCCAAAUUUUAUACAGCCUAUUAUUUUCAUAGGUAUCAUCGAUUGCCACCCGGACCUUGUCGAUUUUCCGACAUGACGAAAAUAAGCCGCACCCUAGCUUCACCCCUGUAACUUUUGAACUAUGUAACUGAGAUAAAGACUUGACAUUUUGUGAGUGCUCCGAGGUCUAAGGAAACAACUUUAGGGAAUCCCAAAAAUUUUAAAGGGACCAACAUUAAAAAAAGCAAGAACUACAGAGGUUUUAGGGGUGGUGCAGGACUUUUGAAUCACUCUGUACAACUCAAUUUCAGCUUUAGAUAAUACUGUUCCAUUUACUCAGCAAAAUUUUUAACUCAUGCCCUAGUUACUCUUUGAUUGAACUCAACUUGAAAAUGCUCUCUAUUGAUUGUUAGGAUGUGUACAACAGGGUCCUUGCAAUGGAAAAAACUAAGACUAACUGUGGAACUGAAAAUACUUUGUUUAAAUGUGACGUUUUUUGGCCUCGACUGCAGACACAUCCAUUGACUUGUACCGCACCACUGAUAUUUUCUCUUUGUUUUCCCUGUUUCAAUAGACUUUGCCAGGAGCUAACAUAUCCAACGUUCCUGCUUUCUUCUCAAAUUCAAAAAUCCAAACUCUGGAAGAAGCUGAUGCAGUGAAGAAUAUAGCUACUGAGGCUCUGGCUGAAUUGGACAAAAACUCACGAGAUAACAGGACAUUGUUGAAUCUUUCGGAAAUUUUAAAUACCACAAGCCAAGAGCUAGAUGAACCUGUGUAUAUCAUUCUAGUCAAUGACGAGGAUACAGAGAAGUCAAAGCAACAAACUAACACCCACAAGCCCAAGUUUAUCAAUCUAGCUGUUGACACCAUCGAACCACCGGAGACGAACCAACAGAUUAACAAUACAACUGAUCCCUCAGGUAAGUGUGUCUGAAAAUAGGUCAUCUGCUACCAGAUAAUUGAUGGAAUAAGAUUGAAACACAAACAAGCUACAAAAAUCAAAUAAUGACUCAUAAUAAUGAGGGUGUCCUGCAAGUGUACCCUCAGCAGGAUUGACUUUUUGAAUGUCAUGUUGGCUUUUUCGGCAAUACACGUUCAAAUAAGGGCUCAGAACAUACAACUUUGAACUCUUUUUUUCAUGACUUUUUAUCGUUCAUAAUAAUGCAAGAAAAUUCCUCUGAACCAAGUCCACUCUCUACUUUUCAAAUGCAAGCAUUAAAAAAUUACUAAACAAGCUCAUUAUUAAUAUUUACUGUGGUAAUACUUUAUAUUACAAACAGCCAAUCUUAGGGGCACUGAGAUAUAUUUGCACCUAUGAUAGCUGAUUCGACAAAUCUAGUUUUUUUCCUCUUAUACCAGCCUCCAUUUUUUAGAAUGGACCACUAGACUAGGUAUGAAUAUUACCAUUCUGAUGUAUGACUUCUCUUUAAAAUUUGACGCAGAACCCGCUCUAUGCAA